AGUUUUGACAUUUUUAGGCAAUUGAGCCUCAAAAUCGGCGCACGUCUUCCUUCACUUCCUCGCUUGGAGCCGCGUUUACCUAGAGAUCCCGGAGCAAAGGGCCGGCCGUUUAACCCCCAGGGCUGGCCGUUACCUGGGGCUCUGAGGGGAGCGGUCCUGCCCCGCAGCCCCCUCACGGCUCCCGUGAGGCGAUGGUGGCAGCCCCGCGGGAGAGGAGGAGAAGGAGGGAGGAGGGCGGGGAAGUUUCCGUGCGGGACAGCGGGGCGGGCUGACGCGGGACAGCCGCUGCUGGGCUCCGGAGAGAGCCAGGAGGCACCUGAGAGCCAUCGGCAGGUGGCGGGGGAGCGGUUGGCCGGGGCCGGGGCGGGGAGAGGAGAGAGGGAGGGAGGGGACACGGGCGGGGAGAGGAGGAGACGCGGCAGCCGCGGAGCAGUGAGAUGGCGACGGAGGUGGCGGCUCCUCAGCGCCGGCGCCUCGUCCUCUGCCUCGAGCACUGACGCACCCGCCCGGCUCGACCCACAGCUGAGGGAAGCAGCUGUGCCCGGCAGCGACUUGGCGAGAGGUAGGAGAAAGGCAGAGGAGUUUCCAAGUACCGUUUUUGAUCUUAUAAAGCACACAGCUACAUUUGACAGCAGUAAGUAAUGACAUUAGGAAGGUAUGAGAGCUGUUUCUGUAUUGUUCUAGCUGGGAGCUUAAUUAUGCUCUUGAUAAACUACUAUAAAGAUGUUUACACUUCAAAAUAUGAUGUACUUGGUGGUAAGUCCAGCUAUGUUUUUUUGUUUGUCUUACUUUUCAAAGUCACCCUAUAAAUGGAUAGUGGUGAUUUCUGAUAAACUAGGCUUUUAGAUCGAGGUAAGGUUCUUUCCUAGGAAAGGUUACAGAUGAAAAACAGACUUUUAUUAAACUGCCCGCUUUUCUGCUUUAUAUGGUAGAUUUGCAUUUUUUGCUUUAUCUGACUUUGACAGCUAAAUUCUGAUGAAAAAAGUAUUUUUGCAUAUUAUUGGAAGGUGAAAUAAAGCUCUUGUGUUUGAGACA
rnacentral:lncRNA from 1 species